AAAAAAAAAUACUCGUUGUAUAACCCGGAAUUGCCGUGUGCUUGUGGCAUAGGAUCGGCUCAUCUUGGAACAUUCAUAGCUUGAUAUUGAUAUUGAGUGUGUGCCCCGUAUAAUGUUGGCAAGGAUGAAUUCGUCAUUGUCAUUGUCAUCCUACGACUACGACUGAGUGUGGGGAGGGAACAACUACUUAGUGUGGGAACUUAGGUAAAUGGGCAUGCAGUCCUUGAAAAGGCACCGUUUACAGUUAAAAAUGGUUACAUGUUAGUAAUAAAACGUAGGUGGACCGAGAAACGUAUCGGCGAGAAAUUGACGGAGCAACAGAGGAGGUAGGGGGAAAAAAUAAACAGAGAAGGAAGGGCAAGACUUUGCUUUGAGAUUCGUUUCCUCCAGGUGUCGCUCUCAGGAUAAAGAGGACCGUUCCUGUAUAAUCUCCUUCCCCUGCAUUCGGCCUUCAGCUCGCCCCUGCGCUUUUAACUCGCAAGUCGCAACGCCAGACUCGCAUCCGUCGCCGCCACAUCCUCCCUCUCCCCGCCGGCACCGGAUCCUCCAUCCGCCGCUGCUCUUUCUUUCUAGCCGCGAGGUGGAGGGAUCCAUCCGGGCUCAUUCCUUCCCGCGCAGGUGAGUAAAUCCCUUCCCUUCCUCGCUUGGAUGGAUUCUUUCGUUCCUACGGUUGGUUCUCGUUGUCAAGCGAGCCGAGAUUCUUCAUCCUCUCUGUUCCUCUCCAUUCGUGUAGCUGUUGAUUCGCGUGCUGCAUGGUACCCUACUAACCAAAUCCAUCCACCCCACCAUUCAACGGUUCGAUUUGGUUCUUUUCCUUCACUGCGCAAGGUCGACAUUGCCAGACAUCAUAGUGUUCCUGGCGAAUUAGGUGCGGGCGCAGUUUGCUUUCCAAAGAUUUUAGGGGGCAUAGCGAAGUCCGUCCCUGCCGCUAAACGGAUGAUCCUGCAUUGCAUGGACACCGUGCCCUUGCCAAAUGUUUUCUUCUCGUAUGUGUGUUAUGGCAGUUUCCUUUCCAUUUGGGAAGAGGAACAUAAAGUACUCUAGCAAUCCCAUGAGAAAAGUUUCGCUAAUGUUUAUAAUGUUUGUCCAGUGUUUGCCACUGUGUGUAGAAUAUAUUCAAAUAGUGAAAGAUGUAUAAACUGGCGAUGUGGUAGAUUGCUAAUAACAAUUAUUGUAGCAGACAAGUUAUACCACGCAGUAUUAGCAGUACAUAGUUUUGCUGCUUUAGAAAUAGAGAUGUUUAUAUAGUGCAUCCAGACGGUACUAUUCAGGGUUUUCUUGGAUUAAAAUAUUAAUCAACUACGUUUAGGCCCCAUUUAAUUGAUCGAGAAUAGGCCAUUAUCAUUUACAUUGUUUUUCACUUUCUUUUCCAGUAUAAGCACACAUAUUUGUUUUCUUCAGGUCAUAUCUGUGUCUGCUUGUUUCAUGAUUGGUCUCAUGGAAGACCAUUCACCAUGGGAUUAUCUUUCAGUUGAUCAGAUUAGAACUCCUGCAUUCAACUCUGGAGUUGUUUCUGAAGCAAGCAACGGAGGCAAAGAGUUCUCAGUUUCAUUGGACGCUGUCGUUCCUGAUGAUAUACUGGAGAGGAUUUUCACAUUCUUGCCUAUAGCAAGCAUGAUAAGGGCAACAGCAGUAUGCAAGAGAUGGUACGGCAUUAUCUAUUCAAGCAGAUUUCUUUGGACCCACAUGAUGCCUCAACGGCCAUGGUACUUCAUGUUUACCUCUAAUGAAACUGCUGCCGGUUAUGCUUUUGACCCCAUCCUUCGUAAGUGGUAUGAUUUAGAGCUUCCUUAUAUUGACAAGAGCAGCUGUUUUGUCUCUUCUUCUUGUGGCCUAGUUUGCUUCAUGGACAAUGACAACAGGAACUCCAUUUCUGUAUCUAACCCUAUCACAAAAAACUCCAAGAGGCUUUUGGAGCCUCCCGGUGAAACAUUGCCAGACUACAGUACCAUUGCCAUGAAAGUAGAUCGGUUGUCUCAUAAGUACUCCAUUACAGUGGCAAAAUCCAAGCAAAUUCCUGAAGAUUUUGUCCGAUGGGAAUUUUCAGUAUACAAGUAUGAUUCUUGGAGUGGUACAUGGGUAACUUCUGCGAGUGAAGUGUUCAUUGGUUGGAGAGGGGGUGAUGAUAGUGUCAUAUGCGACGGAGUCCUGUACUGCUUAAUUCACUCCACUGGUGUCCUUGGCAAUGUCAACCCUCGUCAUGGCCUUAUCAUGUAUGACCUUGUUGGUGGACCUUCGAAGACUUCUUUAGUGCAAACAUCAAUCCCGGUACCAUGUUCUCUCACAUGUGGCCGUCUGGUAAACUUGAAGGAGAAGCUGGUUUUGGUUGGCGGAAUUGCAAAACACAACAGACCUGAUAUCAUUAAAGGAAUAGGAAUAUGGGAACUCCAUGAGAAACAGUGGCAUGAGGUAACUCGGAUGCCCCACAAAUUCUUCCAAGGAUUUGGUGAAUUCGAUGAUGUUUUUGCCUGCAGUGGCACAGAUGACCUUGUCUAUAUACAAAGCUAUGGUGCAACUGCUUUGCUUGUUUUUGACAUGAUGCAUAAGCAAUGGAAGUGGUCGGUGAAAUGUCCUGUGAGCAAAAGAUUUCCUCUCCAGCUUUUCACUGGAUUUUGCUUUGAGCCCCGUCUUGAUAUCACUGCUUAAUAUGUACCAGUUCAUCUUUUUUGCUUUUAGUGGAAUCAGAUCAGCUACUAUGUUAAUUGUUAUUCAUGAUAAUCCAUGCAAGUUUUGUCGCAUUCUUUCAACCAUUUUGCUGUUAUCCUUUUCUCAGUUCUCAACACUGAUGGCCCCACAAUGGUCAUGCUGGAUGCAAUUAUUUGUUUCUAUUGACAUCAGCUUAAAAAUCUGUAGAGUGCUAUAUGUGCUGACUUGCGUAUCUUUGAAGAUGUACCUUUGUUUGCAAUAAAGUAUAUAUAUGUACUAUCUUUUUCAGAUUUGCCCAGUUAUGCCUUGAACUGUGUCGGCAACACCUGCAUAGUUUUAACUUGUUCCAUAUAAUUGAGCGACAGGUUACAGCAUGACCGGACAGAUAAAAAAAUUUGCAGUGCUCAGUGCUACAGAUAAUGUAACCUAUCUUUUUUUUUUGUUUGGUCUCUUGCUAUCCAAUAUGUUUUGAACCUUAUCCCAUAUAUGAUAGCUGAUAUUUGUCCCUUUUCGGUCUUAAUCGACAACUUCGACUGUUCACAUUUUGUUUCUUGUGAAACUGUUCAUCCACGCUGGUCCUACAUCUUCUGAGGCUGCUGCUGCUACGAACAGCUUGGGCCACUGGUCUCACCCAGCGCUUGAAAGUCGUUUCGCUGGGCACUGACCAGUGCCUUGCUCAUUUCUGUAGAAUCAUCAUGGGCAAAUCCAGGUUUCCUCUUGUGGGGGCUGGCUCAUCCUGUACUGUCUCUGAUGGUGCCCCCAUGAGUCUGCAGCACGGUGCAAACGAGCCAGAGGCGCCAUUGAUGAGGUUUCAACGCUUUGUUGCAGCUGCUGGUACUGUGUCCUGAGGCAUUGAUGGCUUAGCUGUAUCUGUGGUUCUCUCUGUGGUGUCUGUAUUUUUUUUCAUUUUCCUGCUUAUUUUUUUUGGAGAAGGAUCGUUCUCAGUAUGGUGUCGUGUGUUGGGUCCUUUUGUAGAUUUGUGUUUUACUCAAAUCGAGCCUUGUUUCCUUCACCACCAUCAUCUGAAACUUGUGAGUCUGAGAUGGCAUCCAUGCAGGGUUUCAUGUGUGUACUGUAUGGAGACAACUCCUGUCGUUUGCUGUUGGUUCCAGCUGUCAUGGAUGAGGCCUGGGGCCCUCCUCACCUGAAGCGAUUUUGGGUAUAAUCCUUGACUGUUAAUCUCUUUACUAUGUUGGUUUGGCCAAUAUGGAUUAGUGAUGGCGCCUGCUGGCUGAGCAGGGCAUGGAGAACGUGGCUGUACAGUGUGUUCAGCAACAGUUUCAGUCGUGAUAUUGUUUGUUAACAGGGAGCUCUUGCAGCCUGAAUAGUUCUAUGAUUGUUCUCAGUGAUAGUACACAGUAACACAGCGCGUUUUUCCUCACUGGAAUCGAUGAUACCAUUUCUCGAUAUUUAUUUGGAAACCUAAAGAAACUACAAAGAGAAAAUGGAUCAAGCAACAUGGCGUGGUUGAUUUCAUGGUUUGGAGUGCUAUAUCCCUAUCGAGCCCAACUCGAGAUAUGCCCUGACCAGUGGGCCGUUAGCAUGCUGCGGCCGGUUGGCCAGUAGAAAAUGGGCCCAACCCAGGAAAGGAGUACUACCUCCAUUGCAAAACAAUGGUGUAUAUCACCCUAACAAAAUAAAAAAAUAAUGGUGUAUAUCAAGACUCGGAAAAAAAUUUAAACUUCAUAAAUUUUGAUUGACUAAUAAUUACUCGGAUUACGUGCAUUUCUAACUAAAAAUAUGCAGCAAUAGAUUUGUAUUUCAAGUACCUUUCAACAAGACACUGGUUUGACAGAUUUUCUUUUCAUAGGGGUUUGUCAGAAGUUGAUAAUGUAUUACAAGAGGAACUGAUGAUUAAAAUAAAACAUAUUUCAAAAGAAUACCAAACAGGGAGGAUUCUCUGGUUCACGUCCCUCCCAAGCCCAGCAGGAACUUGUCUUACCCACCCGACCGUUGAUUGUGGUUUGACUAGUACAUUUCCCGGCCGGAGAGCUAACCUACAACUACGAGGAGAUACGCGCCUUGCGCGCUCGUCUUGCACCGCUGCGCGAGGGCUUGGCAGCUUGCGUCAUUAGCGGCCUAGCGGUGUCACUCGGGUGGGUGUUUGAUAUCGGUGCUAAAUUUUAGCACGUGUCACAUCGGAUGUUCGAAUGCUAAUUAGAAGGAUUAAAGAUGAGCUAAUUAUAAAACUAAUUGCAGAACUCCUAGGCUACUUCGCGAUACGAAUCUAUUAAAGCUAAUCAAUCCAUCAUUAGCAAAUGGUUACUGUAGCACCGCAUUGUCAAAUCAUGGACUAAUUAGGCUUAAUAGAUUCAUCUCGCGAAUUAGACUCCAUCCGUGCAAUUAGUUUUGUAAUUAGCUCAUAUUUAAUACUUCUACUUAGUAUCAAACAUUCGAUAUGACAUGUGCUAAACUUUAGCACCUGGGAGCCAAACACCCCGGAGAGUCAUGAAAUGCUCCUCGUUGCAUGGGGCUCGGGUCAGGGGCCGGUAGGCCACGAGCUUCGUGGUGACAACGUUUGUUUUUCUUUGUGCUUUCCUCGUGCACCGCGUGGGGUUCGAUUGGAUGCACGCGCCCAACUACAUUCCUAUGAUCUUCCCACCUCCCGCGCGGAUUUUGCUUUCGUUUCGUAUUGCGGUUUGAAUCAUCCUACGCUCUUGUGCAGCUCCUUUCCUCUUCACCCUCGGUGAUCUUCCUAUGUUUCUCCAAUUACCGUGGCUAAUAGGAUUUGACUAGCUUAUUAUAGAAAACAAGAUCCAAAAACCGGACUGCUUGAGGGGUGAAAAACCCAACCACAACUACAGCAAUUCGAUCAGGAUUAUAUCACUAAGCACAACUAAACUAUAGCGGCUGACAUUCUCAGGUCAGCUCCAAUGUAUAAAAAAUCAAACAAUGUUUGGUGCAAAUCGAUUUUACUACACUCCGACGGCUGACUGGUAGAUGUCAGAGUAAAAAUCGGAGUUCUAAUAGCAGUCGAACUGUGCGGCUUCCAGCUGAAUAAAAUACUCCUUGCCCAGGAAUACACAGGACAUAUGUGUCAGGCGUGUGUGCUGUUCCAAACACUCACCGUCAGCGUAGUCCAUUUUUUAUUGUUUCCUUUUGGCCAGCAAUCAAAUACGACACUACGGGCGUGUUUGGUGUCCUGCAGCUGCGUGAACUAGGCUCACCGCGUGCACCCUCCAUCUGUUAGGUUGUUAGGUUGCCUGGUCCCCCCGCGAGCCAGGUUGUGCGCGUGCAAAAGAACCCCCGCGGCCAGGCUCCGCGGAUAUGAGAGGAGCGGCCGUUUUCGCCGGGCCUGGUUCCCGUGGUGCGACGGCGGGCGCGUGGGAGGCGAAAAGUUGGCCGGCUGGAGCUCGCACCAUUUCGCUGGGGUUACCUCCCCCUUUCGCGCCACUCACCGCAGAUAUAUCCCCCUCCCCACCGCCUCCGCUCCCCCUCGGUCACCAUUCGUCUUCUUCGCUAGAUCUGAGGUGCUCCCCUCUCCUCUCUUCCUCUGGUUUUCAUUGAUUCGGUUCAUCGAUUCGCGUUGUAUUGAUCCCCUCCCUCCUUCGUUGCUUCCUAGGUGCUCUGGAUCUGAGUUCUUGCGCAGGUAAUCUGGUUCGCCUCCCCCUCCCGGCCCCGUGUUCUUGAUCUCCUAAUCCUAGAUGCAUCUCUCACUGGUUCUUGUUCAAAUCGAUGCAAGGAUCUCAGAUCUGUGUUCCCCACUUGGUUCGAAGGUACGAAUCCAUGUUCUUGGUUAGGGUUUUUUUUUCAUGUUUAUUUCUUUUAUUUUCCUAAGGUAUGAAUCCAUGUUGCUUAGGAUUCUAACGUAUGAAUCCAUGUUGAUGGUGCCAGGUUGCAGAUUUGCUGUCGGUUGUUUGUUCGUCUGCAUCAUUGUUUGGGUGCUUGCCGUCCUCGUUCGGUAUAAGCAAUCCUCCCCUCCCUCUCCACCUUUUCUGAUGAAUGCGGCUGGUAUCGAUGGUGAUUGUGUGCGCUACAGAUCUGAUAAUGCUAUUUUUUCUGAGCUUAUGUCCAAGUCAAUGAUGUUUUCUCUUUUAAUCUGAGCAUAUGUCCAUGCCAAUGCUGAUGCUUGUUUUAAUCUAAGCACUUGUUCAAUGCCAAUGAUGAUAUGCUAUUUUUAUCUGAGCACUUGUUCAAUGCCAAUGAUGUUGUCUCAUUUUCCCUUUAAUCUGAGCAUGUGUUGCAUGGCAAUGAUGUUUGUCACCGUAUUGUUGCUUUGGUAGUCAUGGUAAUUAUCUUGUUUGCUUAGAUAGCUUUGGAGGACCAGCAACGCUUGCUGUUUGCUCGAGCUGCUGCUCUUAUCACGGCUAUGUAUGCAUUCUUGUUCACCAGGAUAAGAAUGCAACAUAGUUCAAGGCUAUAGAUCAGUUAUGGCCCUUUGAGCGCCAUGGAUGAGGAACGCCAAAAAAACCUGGACAAAAUUUACAAUUGUACUGAUAUAGAGUGUGUUGCUAUGCUUCGCAUGAGAAAAGCACCUUUUUUUGCACUGUGCAACUUGCUUAGGGAAAGGCAUUUGCUGUCAGAUAGCCUUCAUAGUUGUGUUGAAGAGCAGCUAGCAAUGUUUCUACACAUUGUUGGCCACAACCAACGCUUUAGAGUUAUUCACCAACAUUGGAGAAUGUCAAUAGAAAUAGUGCAUAGAUAUUUCAAGGAGGUCUUGUAUGCUAUUGGGGAACUUAGGCAAGAAAUGAUUAGAGCUCCAUCUAAUGAGACACCAGUUAAGAUAAGCAAUAGCCCAAGAUGGUACCCAUAUUUCAAGGUAAUAAAUUUGUCAUGUAGUUUGUAGGUUAUUGCUGCACACUUGGGUGCAUAUCAUGUAACAUGCAUCUAUUGGGUUUUCAUGUAGGACUGUGUUGGGGCAAUAGAUGGGACUCAUGUAUAUGCUAGAGUGCCAGCCAAGAUCCAAGCAGCAUUUAGGGGAAGGAAGCACUACCCCACACAAAAUGUUCUUGCUGCUGUUGACUUUGAUCUGAAAUUUACUUAUGUCUUACCUGGUUGGGAAGGGUCUGCUCAUGAUGCUACUGUUCUUGCUGAUGCACUAGAGAGGGAGGAUGUGUUAAGGGUUCCACCAGGUAAUUAGCUGAAUUGGGUACCUAAAUAAAAAUUGUAACUUCGUAACAAUGGACUUAAUGCAUUUCUGUACUUGUUAUAGGAAAAUUCUACUUAGUAGAUGCUGGAUAUGCUUGUCGUCCUGGAUUCCUUCCUCCUUACCGUGGCACUAGGUACCAUCUGAAAGAGUAUGGUGCUAGGAACUACCCAACCAACCCAAGGGAGUUGUUUAAUUUGAGGCAUUCAAGUCUGAGAGUAUCUGUUGAAAGGGCUUUUGGUGCUUUGAAGAACCGUUUUCGCAUCAUUGAUAAUACACCAUUUCAUCCCUACAAGACACAAGUGAAGUUAGUACUUGCUUGCUACAUAUUGCAUAAUUGGAUACUUGGGCAUGGGGUUGAUGAGGUAGUUCCUACUGAGUUCUCAUGGGUGCCCAACAAUAAUGCUAGUCCUGGACAUGGGGUCCAGAUGGAUGACAAUGUUGUUUGGGCUCAAAGUAGGGAUGAAUGGGCUCAUCACAUGUGGUCCAAUAGGGGCAACUCUCACAUCUAAGAUGUAUCUGUUUUGUAUUCUAUGUAUGUUGAACAAUGUUGGUUAUUUAUAUUCUGAGGCAUUGAACAAUUGCAAUGAUGAUUUUACUUAUUUCAUUACACAAUAUAGCUAAGGUAUUGGACAUGUGCAAUGAUGUUACACCUCUUUUGAUACUACACUAGACCUGAGGCUUGAGACAUUUGCAGUGAUGAUUUUAUUUUCUUUGAUACUUCAUUAGAGCUGAUACUUCUUUAGAACUGAGGCAUGGGGCAUGUGCAGUGAUGAAUUUUUAUUCCUAUUUUCCUCUUGAGUGCAAUGCAUAUUGAUGACAUAGGCCAGAUGACACAUGCAAUGAUGUUUCGCCAACUAUGUUGUUACUGUUUCUGAGUGGGGGUGUGGCAAUUGGAAAUAGGAAUGGCUGAGGAGAUGAAUGCUGAGAUCCUUGCUGCUGAUGAGCUUGUGUUCCCUGGUGGGGCUGUUGGGGCUGAUGGAGAUGAUGGGCCUGUUGGGGCUGUUGGGGUUGUUCCUGGUGUUGCUCAGCAGAGACCUGCUAUGAGGUGAACAUAUGUGAUGUCUGGAUUUAUUCUUCACCGCAUGUGCCAGCUGAUUUCAACUGGUGUUAGGAAUGAUAAAGGUUGCAAAGAAGUCCACCUCAAUCAGGUUGCCAAGGCUCUGCAUGAGUUCAGUGGCAAUGAAGUCACUAGCACACAGGUGUAUAAUCACUUGAGGAAGUGGAGGCAGAGGUGGGUUAAAAUCUCAAAGCUGAGAGAGCUGAGUGGAGCCUUGUGGGAUGGGGACAGCUCCAUGAUUGUCCUUGAGGAGGAGCACUACAAUGGCCACAUCAAGGUAUGUAGUAAUGUUGCUGUUUUUUUUAUUCAAUGUUCAUCAGUUUAAGUAUCUAACUUCAAUUGUUCUAAUGCAGGCACACCCCAAAGAUGCUGAGUACCUCAACAAGCCAAUUGUGUACUACCAGGAGAUGAUGGUCAUCUUUGGUAAUGGUCAGGCAACAGGUAAGUAUGCUAUGGGGUCAAAUGAGACUCUUGGUAGUCCUUCUGACUUUGCCUACAACCCAAUGAAGCAUGACCUACCUGAGGAGCUUAGGAGUGGCAAGCCUGAGGCAGCUUAUGUUUCCAAGUCAGAACCACCUGUUGGAAGCAAGAGAAAGAGGUCCAUGCUGUCAGAUGAUGAUGUCCUUGUGUUCACUAGCAUGACUGAUGCAGUGAACAAUGUUGCAGAUGCUAUACGUUCUACCAAGGUUGAGGAUUCCCACCCUGACUUGUAUGGUGCACUGAUGUACAUGCCAGGGUUCUGCGAGGAAGCUCUAAUGCUUGCAUAUGGUCACCUGCUUAACAAUAAGGCCCAGGGAUCUACUUUUGUGCAGAUGUCUCACACCAUGUUCUUUGGCUGAGUACCUACUUGGCCAAAAACAACUACAUGUGAGUGGCUGGGCUUGGUUGGGCAGUGAUUCUUUUGGACGACCUGGUGCAGUUGUGGCUUCUUUUGUGCAUACCUAUUGCCUGAUCUGAUGGUCUUUUGUGCAGCUGACAACUUGAUGCAUUCUUUUGGGAUGGGGACUUGAUCCUGUCUCCUGACUAUAUGGCUAACUGUAGCAUAUAGUUGCCUGACUUAGAUUGGCCUACUGUGAAGUCAUCUUAUUCUAUCUGAGUGAGAUAUUAAACUGAGCAUGUGUCUAUUGUGCCUAUUUUGUCUGUUGUGCCUAUUGUGUUUUAAUCUGAGCAGAUGUCCAUGCCAAUGAUGAUAUGCUUCUUGUUGAUCCUUUCUAUCCAUGCCAAUGAUGAUAUGCUGUUCAUAUGGUUCUUCUUGAUCCUUUCUGUCUAUGCCAAUGAUGAUAUGCUGUUCAUAUGGUUCUUCUUGAUCCUUUCUGUUAAGGUAUUGUAUGUUGUUGUGCCUACUUCCUGCCUGUUUCAUAACUUGCCUGUGCCUGAUCCUGUCUGUUUCAUGAUGUACUUGCUGUCUGGUCUCUUCUUGAUCCUUUAUGUCUGUCUGAUGAAAGAGUUCCUGAUAUGCUUCCUGUGGACCUUUGUAACCUUAUAAUGCCAUCCUUUGUAACCUUCAUAUGAAAUGCAUGUUUAUAUUUAUAUAUGUCACUAAUGUUUCAUGAAUUGUAAACAUCUAUGGCCUGGUAUGUUGUUCAUGUUGGCCGACAACCUGGAGUUUACUCCAAUUGGGUUGAUGCCCAUGCUCAGGUUAGUGGCUACAAGGGGGCCUGCCACAAGAAGUACAAGUCAAGUGAAGAAGCAUUUGCAGCCUUCUACGAUCUUCAAAACAAAGAGGUCAAGCCAACUGCCUCACAUGACCCUCCUACGAUGGAAUUAUGGAAUGUUAAAGAUGUAAUUAUAGUUGUUCAAUUUGUAAUCAUUGCUUUUUUGGUUUACAAGUUGUUGUAAUGUCGAUCAUGUUUGCAACUAUCAUUGUACUUAUGGUUACCUCCUUGUGCUGAACAAGGUAGUGGUAUUCUUACCACUGCAUGCAGGGGGUAACAUCAUACAAUUGCAUGCGACUAACCAAACACCGUUCCCUACAUCUAUUCUUUCAAAUUUUGAGUACAUUCAGGCAACCAAACAGCGUAUCCGCGGAGCCUGGCUCAUUGCAUGCACUCAACCAAACAAGUCGGCCUUGCAUGCGCGCGACUUGGCUUAGUGGAGCCUGGCUGGCUGGUACGAGCUAGGCUAACCUCCUCCAGGACACCAAAAAUGCCCUACAACUCCCGAACCAUACGUCGCGUCGAUAGUUUUUCUAAUCCAAAAUCGAUUCUACAUUGGAGCUGGCCUUAUACUAUAAGAGUACGAAUAAAUCAUGAGUAAUGUAUGGAUAGCAUCUGUGAGGAAAAGACAGCUCCCAUAGUAUUUCACUUAAAAGAUUUUAACCGGAGUCUGAUUGAGAAAGGUCACGCUCAUACAUGGAGAUGCCACUUCUUGUGGUUCGGGUCUGGACAUGUGUUAUAAGGCCCAAUCCACGAUCAACCCCGUAUAUGAGAGCUUGCUCUUCAUGUGUAUAUUUAGUCGUAUCGAUCGAUGGAACCAGCAAUUGACCUUUUCUACUCAACCCGUUCCCAUGGGGGAUCUACCUAUGUUGAAGCACUAAAGGUAGUAGACGAUUCUUUUGUUCUUAUUGCAGAUUAUAUUUACGCAGAAUCAAAGGAGCUCUCUAGAAGGUUAAAAAGUUGCCCGUUGAUCUCUCCAAAUGUUAAAAAAUCACUGUUUACAUAGCACUGAAUGCGGAUCUCUAUGGAUGCACGCUGCACCUAGUAAACAAAUAGCCCAAGACUAGGGGAAAAAAUAUCUUGCACUGCUCACAUUAUGCACCUUUGCGAUAAUUUCCCUAAAGUCACCCCGUUUGCAUGGGAUUACAGUGUCUAUGGUUGCUAGCUCUUGUGAAAAAGUCCUUGAAGUCGCCCCAUUUACAUACACUACUAGAAAAAGUGGUUCUAGUACCGGUUUCCAACCCCCAGUACCGGUUGUGCAACCGGUAAUAGCAAUCCGGUACUAGAGGGGGUCCUCUAGUACCGGUUGGAAUAACCGGUACUAGAGGGUGUUAAAAAAUUAAAAAAAUCCCCCUACCGGCCCUGGCUCCUGCCGCCACCGUCCCCCGCUGGCCCCGACCUCCCUCCACCCGCCGCCAGCCUCCUCCGUCUCCCUCCGCCUGCCUCCAGCCCCCUCCACCUCCUCCUCCCCCUCCUCAGCCUGCCGGCCCCCUCCUCUUCCUCCUCCUUCUCCUUCCCCUCCUCCGCCCGCCGCCGGCCCCCUUUGCCUCCUCCUCCUCCACCUCGUUUGCCCGCCACUGGCCCCCUCCGCCUUCUCCUCUGCCCGCUGCCCGCCGUAUCCACUCGCCCCCACCCUCCCGUCACCGCCGCCAUCCUGUAGAUCCGUUGCCGCUGCCGCCAUCCUGCUGCCACCGCCUGUCCGCGCCGCCGCCUCACCUCGCCCCGCCGCUGCUCCUCUUUGCCGGUGAGGGCGAGCGGAGUGGGAAGGGGAGGGGAGGUAGAGGGGGCGGGCAGAGUGAGAGAGGGAGGGAGAGAGGAAGGGAGAGAGGAGGGGUGCCAGAGUGAGCUGGGAGAGGGAGCAGGCUAGGACGUAGGGAGUGAGAAGGAGAACAUAAGGACCAAAGAGGAGGGGCGUCGGAGUGAGAAGGAGCCUAGGCGAUGGAGGGUUGCGCCUCGAGGGAAAAAAAAGGAGAAAUAAAUUGCGCGGAUGGAGGGAGGGCCUCCAUCCGGUACUAAAUCCUUUAGUACCGGGUGGAGACUCCAACCGGUACUAUAGGGUGACCUCUAGUACCGGAUGGAGCCCCCACCCGGUACUAGAGGACCUUCGGGGGAUCCCAAACUUGGAUCCGGUACUAAUGCUAACAUUAGUACCAGGUCCAAAAAUGAUCGGUACUAAUGCUAAGGAUGAGAGGUCAUUUUUCUCGUAGUAAUAGGACUAUGAGUGUCUAGUAUGCAAGCUACAUCUAGUAUAUAAAUAGGGAGAAACAAGGAAAAAAGGAGUCUCCCACUGCCCACUUAUUAUUUGUAUGCCCUGCUUUAUGGUUUAACUUGUUUCCGAAGAUGGUGGAGAGUUCUCUACAAUUACAGUAAAAUAAGCAUCUUUUUUCUCACUAUUAGCAUUUCACAUUUAACAUAUUGCCUACCAAAAUCCACUACUGCAAAGCAUCUCAUUCGUGUCGAAGCGAAAACCUCAUUCGUACUGGUGAAUGAAACGGGAACACGAAGAUGGUCCGAAUGCGAACGGUUAUUAGUGCCGGCUACGCCGGUACGAAUAGCAAAUUAUGCCUACCGGUGGAAAAUUGCACCGGUACAGAUAGUAAAUAUAGUAACUUACAAAUGAAAAUAGCAAAAACAUUUUUUCUAGGCCUUGAGGCCACCCUGAGCUACCCCUCAUGGUCGCUGGUCACAAGUCAUGUGUAUUUCACGCGAAAUAUGCGUGCAUGCGGUGUCCAACCUUCGAACUCAACACAAUACCUUCUUAUCAUUCCACCUACACCACAUACCUGCACACAAAGAGAAGUUUUAUUCGUUUAACCCUUGUUGUCUAACAUUUUUAUCUAUUAUUUGAGCAUCUAAAUGACUUCAAAUAAAAAAAAUUAACUACAAAGUUGUACGCAAAUUAUGGAUCUGCAGAUACAAGCUGAAAUUCGAAUUGCAUAGGCUGGAAAUUUAUUUGUGUCACCGCAAUCUCGAGCCGGCACGAAUAAUCAUGAAAGUAUUCAUGCCGGCAUGCCAGUGUAAUUUUGAGCGGCACAUUUAAUAGAUUAUUCGUGCCAGCUCAAAAUUACAUCGGCACAAAUAAGAGAGCCAGCAUGGAUAAUUCAUUAGUUGUGCCAGCUCGCUACGUACAACUUAUUCAUGUUGGCUCAUUUAUACUCGGCACGGAUGAGCUGAUACGAUGAGUGUUUCUCUAGUAGUGAGUUUUAUUAAUCAUUUGUUGUAUCAUGUAUGAAAGCAUUUCCAAAGAUUAGUAAAACAAUAUAAAAUGUCCAAGAGUCCAAAAGUUAUUUUACACUAGGGAUCAUUUAUACUCCCUUAGUCCUAGAAUAUAGCUACAUUUAGACUUUUUCAAAGCCAAAUCUUCUCAACUAUGACUGUGGAUAGAGAAAUAAUCAUAGAGAUUAAUAACAUAAAAAUAAUAUUAGUUGAUUUAUCAUGAAACCAACUAUUAUAAUAUGUAACCUUUUCUAUUUGAAAUAAAUUAGAGAUAUUUUUGGUCAAAGGUAAAAAGAUUUGACUUUUGAAAAAGCUAAACGUAGCUAUAUUUUGGGACGGAGGGAGUAGUGGUUUAUAGGCUCCAACGUUCAAUUUCUCACCCAUCCAAUUUUGAGAUUAUGACUUAUGUAUAUUAGAUCUAAUAAUUCUGCACCGUCCAAUGUUUAUUACACCAUCAUCACUAAAAGAUUAGAUGUAAAGUAUCCAUAAUUCCAAUAAAACUAAUCAAGGUACAAAUAAAAAUUCAGGUGUUAGAAUGUAUUAAAACAUGUAAAUCCGUGUCUCAAGACUUGCUAAUACCUAAAGCACAUAAUUUUGACACAAUCCGAUGCAUAAAAAUUUAGAUGUUGAAACCCUAUGAACAAUCAGAUGAGAUUUAGGAAUUUUCAUCUAUUAUAUUUCUUUUCAAUAAAAGGACCAUAUUGAUUCUUGUAUAAAACAGACGUUAUAUGCAUAUAUAAAUGAUCUCUCAUUCUUUUCUUAAGGGUGUAAAAAUUUGUAUAUAGAGAUUGAUGUGUUGUUUUAUUGGAUAUUGACCCAUUAAAUGAUAAAGAACAAUUGAAAAAUACAGGAAAUAAUACAAUCAUAAAACAAAUAUAAGUUUAAUGCAUACGUUCCGAAUGGAACCUAAGGUUGGUAUAUAUAGUAGAGUAGACUAAAUGUACAUCUCAAAUGGCAAACUGCAUUAGAAAAAUUAUAGCAUCUCCAAGAUGUACUAUACACCAACACUAAAUAUUUCAUAUGUACAAUUAAAAUACAAGUCUAAAUUGUAGAUGUUAAGUUUCGAUCAAGCUAGGUACAACUAUUAAAGAGAUGACGGGAGAUUGCACGUUUUAUUUGUGCCUAAUCAUGUGACAGCAUUGUGACCGCACGCACUCGUGUAGGUCACUAUCCCACUACAGUAGUGUAGACAAAAAUUUAAAUGCACAUCUCAAAUCGGAACUGUUCAAUUGUCCAUUAGGAUCCAUAGAGCUCUCAGCCUUUUGAAAAUGUACAACUCCGGUACUUUAUGGUUUCACAAGUACAUUUGAAAUACACAAAUGUGAUGUGAUGAUCCCAUACGUGCUCAACCAAUAUCCACGCGCCUAUAUAAAGGGUUUCCUACUAACACUGACCGCCACCAAUCCUAGCCCACGUACCUAGCCAUUUGAUCGAUCACUACUCAAAAUGGCUGCCAAGCUGAGUAACCUCAAGUGGCCUCCUCUCGUUGCCCUGCUUGUCCUCCUCGCCGGCAUGGUUGGCAUCACCUUUGCCGGCAACAUGGCCAUGUACUGGGGCCAGAACGGCGAUGCGGCCACCAUGGCCGACGUCUGCAACUCCGGCCUCUACACCUUUGUCCUCCUCCCGCGCCUCAACACCACCGGCAUCCUUCGGGCCAAUCGCACCGACCUCAGCGCCGACAUCCAGGCCUGCCAAUCGCUGGACGUCAAAGUGCUCCUAUCCGUCGGCGGCGGCAGCUCCUCCGCCAUCAGCGUCCAGGCUCAGACCGUGGACAGUAAGUACCUGUGGCACAACUUCCUGGGCGGCAACUCAUCGUCCCGCCCGCUCGGCAACGCCGUCCUGGACGGCAUCAACUUCGACACCGAGACUGGCGACGUUGCGCGCUAUGAAGCGCUGGCCAACUCCCUGUCACAGCUCAGUGCCCAAGGCCAUGGCCGGAAGCUGUACCUGACGGCGGCGCCACAACGUCCGUACCCAGCUGCUGUCAAGAUAGCUAACCUGCACAACUUUCCUGAGAGCUCUUUGUAUGUCUAUCGCCAGACGAACUACAAUGCAAACCAGCAUGAUCCUUCACAAUUUGGGUUUGCGACAAGGCUGGAGAAGGGGUACUAGGCAUAUACACGAUGUUGGAGACAGGUACACUUGGUUAUGAUCGAAUGAACUGUGUGAUCGAUAUAUAUACUAUCAUAUAGAUAAAAAAGGGACAACUGAAUAACGUCGUUGAGUCGCUAUGAACUCAGAACGAUCUUAUAUAUAUAAUUAGCUUAUAGCAAAUGUACACCAUGUAUAACAUGAGACCAAAUAAAUGAAUAAUACAAUAUUACGACUUUAGAAGUGUGGAUUCAGUUAUAGCUGCUCUUCUUCUCGUCUUCUGAAAAGCUACGACACAAUAAUAUGACUAAGAAUUUUAGCAAGGGCGGAGAUACAUGGAACCAUGUAGGCUACAGAGAGCCAUGGCCCUCACUAGUCACUACUUGAAAAACCUGAGUUGGUUGUGCUGGUUAUUAUGGUGAUUGAGCGUAGGUUGUACAUUUGUGUUAAUUUCUUCUCUUGGGCGGAAGCUAGGACAUGAAUAAUUUGUUUGAAAACCGUGGCAAAGCACGGGUUAUCCGACUAGUACACAAACAAGCUCGUGCAUCUUUCAGAUGGCGCCAUCCUAUAUUCUGCAGAAGCUCUAACACUGCUAUCUAGAAAUUCUUGCUCUAAAAACAAGUUAUAGCAUCGCUCAUAAACUGUCUUCACGACUUGCAUUAUUGCCAAAACAAAAAAAAAAGAACUUGGCCCGGGGCAGUGGCGUAGGCAAAACUAAGCAGUAGCUCGAGGAUUAAGGUUAGAGAUUGUUAACACAACGUUCUGUUUGUUAUGUACAUGUAGCACGCACACAGUCGGUGCUUUGUAUGUGCAUAUAUACUUCACAAGUCAAUACAGAUGGCUGUUGAGUUAGCUCACAUCCCUCCUUCUCUCUCGUUCAGAGAUUUUAGAAACAAAAACAAAUAACCAAUUUGACAAGAGGACAAUGUCCUCACACCAAUACGUGCCACAAAUCAUAUGGGCUGUGAAUGGGCCACAAAUCUCCAGCGUAGCAAGCCGAAAAGGUCAAAUGAGCCAGUUUCACACCCGCCCACCCACAGCCACAGGGGCAGAUGGCUAUCUAUUGUGUACGUGACAUAUAGCCAUCCGCCGUCGAGCCAUCACUAUAUUUUAUGAGCUAGCUGAAUUUUCAUGAAAAACAAGUAGUAGAAUUGUAGAAAUAAAUAAAGAGAGGUACAUCGAACUCCAACUGUUCCAUGCAAGUAUAGAUUGCCAAAUAGGUGGCUCGGCACUAGCAACCCGAUUUGGCCUGGCACUAUAUAGUCUAACCGUGCCGGACCGGGCUAGCACUGUGUGCCAAACUGCUAACCCAAGCCCAGCCCUAUCACCUUUUUAUCGUGCCGGGCCAGCACGUAGGCAUGGCAGGCACUAUCGUGCUAGUGCCGGCCCAAGAACUACAAGCAAGAGAGCAAGAGAGGAGCAAUCCGAACCAAGAUGCAAAGAUAAAGGAAUCCAUCACAAAGAAUCACUAAAGUUCACGAAUCCAUCAUCACAUACACACAAAUCAAAUCCAUAACUCAAAAACCACAAAAAAAAUGAAUCCCACCGAGUGUCCCAUCGGCAGCGGCGGUCGGCGUGCCUCCCGGCUGCACCCUAUGGCGAAGGGGCCUGCCUACCUCGCGGCCGCGCCCUACGGCGGCAGCGGUCAGCGCACCUCCCGGCCGUGCCCACGGCGGCGGCGGCGACGUACUCGCUUCCCGAGCAUGGCCCAUGGCAAAGGCGGCCGUUGCGCAUCCCGGACGCGCCCCCACAGUGGUGCUGCCUGACGCGCCUCCUGUUGAUGGCAUGAGUAGGGGAGGGAGAGUAGGUAGCCAGGGAAGGGAGGGGGGUGGCUGUAG
rnacentral:lncRNA from 1 species